CCUACGGGUGGCAGCAGUGGGGAAUAUUGCACAAUGGGCGCAAGCCUGAUGCAGCCAUGCCGCGUGUGUGAAGAAGGCCUUCGGGUUGUAAAGCACUUUCAGCGGGGAGGAAGGCGGUGAGGUUAAUAACCUCAUCGAUUGACGUUACCCGCAGAAGAAGCACCGGCUAACUCCGUGCCAGCAGCCGCGGUAAUACGGAGGGUGCAAGCGUUAAUCGGAAUUACUGGGCGUAAAGCGCACGCAGGCGGUCUGUCAAGUCGGAUGUGAAAUCCCCGGGCUCAACCUGGGAACUGCAUUCGAAACUGGCAGGCUAGAGUCUUGUAGAGGGGGGUAGAAUUCCAGGUGUAGCGGUGAAAUGCGUAGAGAUCUGGAGGGAUACCGGUGGCGAAGGCGGCCCCCUGGACAAAGACUGACGCUCAGGUGCGAAAGCGUGGGGAGCAAACAGGAUUAGAUACCCCGGUAGUC
rnacentral:rRNA from 1 species